GAUGAACGCUGGCGGCGUGCCUAAUACAUGCAAGUCGAGCGAACAGACGAGGAGCUUGCUCCUCUGACGUUAGCGGCGGACGGGUGAGUAACACGUGGAUAACCUACCUAUAAGACUGGGAUAACUUCGGGAAACCGGAGCUAAUACCGGAUAAUAUAUUGAACCGCAUGGUUCAAUUGUGAAAGACGGUUUUGCUGUCACUUAUAGAUGGAUCCGCGCCGCAUUAGCUAGUUGGUAAGGUAACGGCUUACCAAGGCAACGAUGCGUAGCCGACCUGAGAGGGUGAUCGGCCACACUGGAACUGAGACACGGUCCAGACUCCUACGGGAGGCAGCAGUAGGGAAUCUUCCGCAAUGGGCGAAAGCCUGACGGAGCAACGCCGCGUGAGUGAUGAAGGUCUUCGGAUUGUAAAACUCUGUUAUUAGGGAAGAACAAAUGUGUAAGUAACUAUGCACGUCUUGACGGUACCUAAUCAGAAAGCCACGGCUAACUACGUG
rnacentral:rRNA from 1 species